GCGAUAGAUCAAUAUCUCUUGACUGGAUAUUCUUGCAGGAAGUGAGAGGAUACACAAAGAGAUACAGAUUCCGUACGGUGUGACCUACGAGUUUCUUAGUGGUUCUGUUACGUGUGUUAAUUGUACUUUCGUUUUAAAUCAGACGGUACAUGCACUGCCUCUCGAAACUGUGCUCUGGAACAUAACCCGUUAAAGAAAUAUCAUAAUAGUGAUGCUGGGUCUGGAACGCUGUCGACCCUGAAAAUCCUAAAAAUCAUUUCCGAUACUUAAUUUUUUUUUAAUGACAAACAAUUACAGGGCCAGUAUUAAUUUGAAAGACCAUGAAUGCAAUUGUAAGUGUAAGCAAGAGUAAGUUUCUCACGGAUCAUUGCUUUAUGAAGGACAGCCACAUCCUCUGGCAGGCUGAACCCUAAUACUAAAAUUAAAAGGAAAAGGAGAUAAAUGGGGGAUGGAACACCCUGUUUUAUCGUCAACAUCGCUGUAGAAAGGCCUUGAUACUCCAUGCCAUAACAAAUUCUCCUAGCAAGGAAUUGAACUUCUGUAUCCUGCGUGCGACAGCGAAGCACAACUGCUGUACCACAGACACCGGUAACAGAAGUUUGAGUCUGAGUUUAGGGAAAGUAUAUUACAUGUACACUGGCACGUCUUUUAAAUCGAGAGGUUCGUCGUUCUGGACAGUUUGACAAGUUGCCAUCGGGAUGAAGGUGUUCUGACAGCAUUUUAUAUAUGUAGUCCUAUAGUAUCGAAUUGGGACCCCGAUCGUCGGCCGCUGGCCACCCAAAAUGCGCUAGCGGACAAGAGAAUUUCUCGCAAAAGUUACAGACGUACGUGUAGCUAGCUACACCGCACAAAGACAUGAAUCUCUGAGCAGACACUGAAAAAUACCACAAAAUAAUGAUACGUCAACACUGGACUGCACCCAGCAUGCAAAAGUGCGUGGUGACAUCUGUGGGAAUCGAAAGGUGAGUACAAGGAGCCACCUGGUCAGAUAGAGUAUAAAGAGGAAGGACUCGUGACUCACACACCAGAGAAUGCCGUCGUAUGGAUUUCACAACUCGUCAACUGCAAACAGCACGCGUCUACCAGAUCGAUGACGGCCUGACUCACACAGAUUUCCCCUCUCGGUCAUGGGUUGGGGAAAAAACGAUCUCAUGUAUUGACCGAAGUGCAAAAAUUCUUUCAUUGUGAGUCUGCUGUUGAGUAUGGGUUUUUUUUUUCGCUGCCGUCUGGCUGAUAUAUUAUUUUUAAUAAUAAUGUUACGGCAAGAAUGUGGCUUA